rnacentral:rRNA from 1 species
UACGUAGGGUGCGAGCGUUAAUCGGAAUUACUGGGCGUAAAGUGUGCGCAGGCGGCCGAGCAAGUCGAGUGUGAAAUCCCCGGGCUUAACUUGGGAAUUGCGCUCGAAACUACUUGGCUGGAGUGUGGCAGAGGGGGGUGGAAUUCCACGUGUAGCGGUGAAAUGCGUAGAGAUGUGGAGGAACACCAAUGGCGAAGGCAGCCCCCUGGGCCAACACUGACGCUCAUGCACGAAAGCGUGGGGAGCAAACAGG